UUAUUUCUGUCGUUUUAAUGUUUUUGUUAUGUUUGUUUAAAUUAAUUUAUGCAUAUUGAGUGCUUAUGUUAAGUAGGAACUAAAGUACAUAUGCGUUAUACACAGACAUUUUGAAAGAUGCAACAGGAAAAUCACGGACCUUUGGUGAGAAGUUAAUAUCUCUGCAUGUGAAUUUAAGUUGUAAAGAAGUUGCAAAGAAGAAAAGAUGUUUUUCAUUUUUGUAUUUUGAUCGGGGUAUUUCAAGAACUCAUUCCCUCUUGGUUAUAUGCAGCCAGCGAGUUUGACGGUGGAUUUCAUUGACGGUGAACGUGAUAGCGGAGAAAAGAAUGAGAAAGGCAAUAAAUCCAUCAGUAUCCAGAA